rnacentral:rRNA from 1 species
GAUGAACGCUGGCGGCGUGCCUAAUACAUGCAAGUCGAGCGAACGGACGAGAAGCUUGCUUCUCUGAUGUUAGCGGCGGACGGGUGAGUAACACGUGGAUAACCUACCUAUAAGACUGGGAUAACUUCGGGAAACCGGAGCUAAUACCGGAUAAUAUUUUGAACCGCAUGGUUCAAAAGUGAAAGACGGUCUUGCUGUCACUUAUAGAUGGAUCCGCGCUGCAUUAGCUAGUUGGUAAGGUAACGGCUUACCAAGGCAACGAUGCAUAGCCGACCUGAGAGGGGGCUCGGCCAAAGGGAAACGGGGACACGGUCCAAACUCCGAGGGGAGGCAGAGGUAGGGAAUCUUCCGAAAGGGGGGAAAGCCUGAGGGGGAAACGCGGGGGGGGUGAAGAAGGUCUUCGGAUCGUAAAACUCUGUUUUUAGGGAAAAACAUUUGUGUAGGUAACUGGGCACAUCUGAAGGGAACCAAAAAAGAAGCCCACGGCAAACUAGGG